UACAGAGGGUGCGAGCGUUAAUCGGAAUUACUGGGCGUAAAGCGCGCGUAGGUGGUUUUGUAAGUUGGGUGUGAAAGCCCCGGGCUCAACCUGGGAACUGCAUCCAAGACUGUGAGACUAGAGUAUGGGAGAGGGCAGUGGAAUUUCCGGUGUAGCGGUGAAAUGCGUAGAUAUCGGAAGGAACAUCAGUGGCGAAAGCGACUGCCUGGCCCAAUACUGACACUCAUGUGCGAAAGCGUGGGGAGCAAACAGG
rnacentral:rRNA from 1 species